UACGUAGGGUGCAAGCGUUAAUCGGAAUUACUGGGCGUAAAGCGUGCGCAGGCGGUUUUGUAAGUCUGUCGUGAAAGCCCCGGGCUCAACCUGGGAAUUGCGAUGGAGACUGCAAGGCUUGAAUCUGGCAGAGGGGGUAGAAUUCCACGUGUAGCAGGUGAAAUGCGUAGAGAUGUGGAGGAACACCGAUGGCGAAGGCAGCCCCUGGGUCAAGAUUGACGCUCAUGCACGAAAGCGUGGGAGCGAACAGG
rnacentral:rRNA from 1 species